GGUGUGGCUCAGUGGUAGAGCAUGUGCUUAGCACGCGCAAGGUCCUGGGUUCAAUCCCCAGGACCACCA
rnacentral:tRNA from 1 species